UGGUGGAAGUAAGAGGACAUAUGCGGAGUAUGCAGAGCCAAAUCCAGCAACGGAUUGCUUAAAGUUGUUCGAUGAUGUUGACGAUUCUCGAGGUCUACCUCAGACUUGGACUAUAAUUGUAAGGAUAGAUGUUAAAUUCCCUAUGGAGCCUAGGUAUCAUGAUAAGCAACACUUCAUCCUUGUCGACACCACUGGUUCCAAAAUUGAAGCAAUUUCAUAUGGCAAUAAUGUCCAUCGAUUUGACACACUACUUCAGCAAGGAUGCAAGUACAUUUGAAAGAUGUAGUUUUUGGGCCAAACUGGGGGGACCUUGAAUUCAGAAAU